rnacentral:rRNA from 1 species
CCUACGGGUGGCUGCAGUGAGGAAUAUUGGUCAAUGGACGAGAGUCUGCACCAGCCAAGUAGCGUGAAGGAUGACUGCCCUAUGGGUUGUAAACUUCUUUUAUAUGGGAAUAAAACGUUCCACGUGUGGGAUUUUGUAUGUACCAUAUGAAUUAGGAUCGGCUAACUCCGUGCCAGCAGCCGCGGUAAUACGGAGGAUCCGAGCGUUAUCAGGAUUUAUUGGGUUUAAAGGGAGCGUAGAUGGAAUAUCAAGUCAGCGGUAAAAAUUCGGGGCACAACCCCGUCGUGCCGUUGAAACUGAUGUUUGUGAGUGGGCGAGAAGUAUGCGGAAUGCGUGGUGUAGCGGUGAAAUGCAUAGAUAUCACGCAGAACUCCGAUUGCGAAGGCAGCAUACCGGCGCCCAACUGACGCUGAAGCACGAAAGCGUGGGUAUCGAACAGGAUUAGAUACCCGUGUAGUC